ACUUAGAGACAGACUGACACAGACAUAUCCACUAAUGCCAGGUGAAAUACUUAGAGACAUACUGACACAGACAUAUCCACUAGCGUUAAGGAAUAUACUUACUGACAUACUGACAGCGUAUCCACUUUUACCAGGGGAUAUACUUAGAGACAGACUAACAUAGACAUAUCAACAAGUGUAAGGGGAAAUACUUAGAGACAGACUGACACAGACAUAUCAACUAGUGUAAGGGGGAAAUACUCUGAGACAUACUGACACAGACAUGUCAACAAGAGUAAGGGGAAAUACUUAGAGACAAACUGACACAGACAUAUCAACAAGUGUAAGGGGAAAUACUUAGAGACAGACUGACACAAACAUAUCAACUAGUGUAAGGGGGAAAUACUCUGAGACAUAAUGACACAGACAUAUCAACUAGUGUAAGGGGGAAAUACUCUGAGACAUACUGACACAGACAUAUCAACAAGUGUAAGGAGAAAUACUUAGAGACAGACUGACACAGACAUAUCAACUAGUGUAAGGGGGAAAUACUCUGAGACAUACUGACACAGACAUAUCAACAAGUGUAAGGGGAAAUACUUAGAGACAGACUGACACAGACAUAUCAACUAGUGUAAGGGGGAAAUACUCUGAGACAUACUGACACAGACAUAUCAACAAGUGUAAGGGGAAAUACUUAGAGACAGACUGACACAGACAUAUCCACAAGUGUCAGGGGAAAUACUUAGAGACAGACUGACACAGAUUCAUCCAUGAGUGUCACUGGUCAGGAGAAAUACUUUGAGACAGACUGACACAGACAUAUCAACUAGUGUAAGGGGGAAAUACUCUGAGACAUACUGACACAGACAUAUCAACAAGUGUAAGGGGAAAUACUUAGAGACAGACUGACACAGACAUAUCAACAAGUGUCAGGGGAAAUACUUAGAGACAGACUGACACAGACAUAUCAACAAGUGUCAGGGGAAAUACUUAGAGACAUACUGACACAGACAUAUCAACAAGUGUCAGGGGAAAUACUUGUUGAUAUGUUUUAAAUGGACAGAUUGACUGCAGAAGUAUACCCCAUAUCUCCUUGUAUUCAUAAGUUUAAAACACACCAACUAAACAAAGUUAAUUUUAUUGUUUUAAAUAACAACAUAAACAAAAGUAAAAGUAGGGGAAUGAUAUGUUUAAAAUCGAAUUUCAUAAAGAUUGCAUGACAGAUAAGUUUUAUCAAGAUUGCACGACAGAUGAAUAUCAUUAGGAUGGCACUACAAACAAUUUUCAUCAGGAUUGCACAAAAAAAAAGUAUCAUCAAAAUUACACAAAAGAUAAUCAAGAGAUUCAUUAACAUUAUAACACUUUAGUUAAACAUUUCCUCUUUUCAUCUGUGAUUAUCAUAUGAGUUACUUCCCUUUACAACUGUUAUUUUUUUUCACAGCAGGAUAACAUUAAAUGUAGGAUUGUGUUAGUCACAGCAGGUGAGCUAAAAAAGGAGAAAAAAAAAGAAAUUCAUUGAAUCUGUAACAUGGUGAAAGGGGAUCUAAUGCCCCUUUGGGCCAGGUGAGCUAAAAAAGGAGAAAAAAAAAGAAAUUCAUUGAAUCUGUAACAUGGUGAAAGGGGAUCUAAUGCCCCAAGCCCCUUUGGUAGAUUCAAGAACUACAACUCUUACACAAAGGGGAGAUAACUUGAUGAAAAGAGGGAAUUGUUUAAGUUACAAUUGUAUAUAAUCUGACACAUUUACAAACAAUUAUUUAUUUCUCUAAUUCAAUUCAACCUCUGUCAUGACUGUCUAUGGCUUAGUACAAUGCAGUAGUGUAUAAAAAUAUUAACAAUCAUCAAAUAAAACCUAUGUAUUCAAUAAUUGAGUAAGUUUGUAAAAGUAUAGAUGUUAUAACAGUAAAUCACCAUUCUGUGUAGUUGUUGUUUGUGAAAUAUAAAUGCUUCAUUAUCUAGGUAAUUUCAUAAGAGAUCAAUGCACCAAUAAGAAUAAAAUCAAAUAAGAUUACUGUCUGAAUUAUAUACAGAAUUAACAAUGUACAAUAUCUUUUAAUGAUUUACUAUGUAAAUGUAUAUGAAAUUUAUGACUAGCAAAAAAAUAUAUAUGACCUAGCAAGAUGACCUAGUGAGAUGACCUAGCGAGAUGACUGUACAUGACACAGACCCUCAUUGAGAUUGUGUGUGAGUCCU